CGGUUAAGUUAGAAAGGGCGCACGGUGGAUGCCUUGGCACUAGGAGCCGAUGAAGGACGGGACGAACACCGAUAUGCUUCGGGGAGCUGUAAGCAAGCUUUGAUCCGGAGAUUUCCGAAUGGGGAAACCCACCACUCGUAAUGGAGUGGUAUCCAUAUCUGAAUACAUAGGGUAUGAGAAGGCAGACCCGGGGAACUGAAACAUCUAAGUACCCGGAGGAAGAGAAAGCAAAUGCGAUUCCCUGAGUAGCGGCGAGCGAAACGGGACCAGCCCAAACCAAGAGGCUUGCCUCUUGGGGUUGUAGGACACUCUGUACGGAGUUACAAAGGAACGAGGUAGAUGAAGAGGUCUGGAAAGGCCCGCCAUAGGAGGUAACAGCCCUGUAGUCAAAACUUCGUUCUCUCCUGAGUGGAUCCUGAGUACGGCGGAACACGUGAAAUUCCGUCGGAAUCCGGGAGGACCAUCUCCCAAGGCUAAAUACUCCCUAGUGACCGAUAGUGAACCAGUACCGUGAGGGAAAGGUGAAAAGCACCCCGGAAGGGGAGUGAAAGAGAUCCUGAAACCGUGUGCCUACAAGUAGUCAGAGCCCGUUAACGGGUGAUGGCGUGCCUUUUGUAGAAUGAACCGGCGAGUUACGAUCCCGUGCAAGGUUAAGCAGAAGAUGCGGAGCCGCAGCGAAAGCGAGUCUGAAUAGGGCGAAUUGAGUACGUGGUCGUAGACCCGAAACCAGGUGAUCUACCCAUGUCCAGGGUGAAGUUCAGGUAACACUGAAUGGAGGCCCGAACCCACGCACGUUGAAAAGUGCGGGGAUGAGGUGUGGGUAGGGGUGAAAUGCCAAUCGAACCUGGAGAUAGCUGGUUCUCUCCGAAAUAGCUUUAGGGCUAGCCUCAAGGUAAGAGUCUCGGAGGUAGAGCACUGAUUGGACUAGGGGCCCCUACCGGGUUACCGAAUUCAGUCAAACUCCGAAUGCCGAUGACUUAUCCUUGGGAGUCAGACUGCGAGUGAUAAGAUCCGUAGUCGAAAGGGAAACAGCCCAGACCGCCAGCUAAGGUCCCAAAGUAUACGUUAAGUGGAAAAGGAUGUGGAGUUGCUUAGACAACCAGGAUGUUGGCUUAGAAGCAGCCACCAUUUAAAGAGUGCGUAAUAGCUCACUGGUCGAGUGACUCUGCGCCGAAAAUGUACCGGGGCUAAACGUAUCACCGAAGCUGCGGACUGUUCUUCGAACAGUGGUAGGAGAGCGUUCUAAGGGCUGUGAAGCAAGACCGGAAGGACUUGUGGAGCGCUUAGAAGUGAGAAUGCCGGUAUGAGUAGCGAAAGAGGGGUGAGAAUCCCCUCCACCGAAUGCCUAAGGUUUCCUGAGGAAGGCUCGUCCGCUCAGGGUUAGUCGGGACCUAAGCCGAGGCCGAAAGGCGUAGGCGAUGGAUAACAGGUUGAUAUUCCUGUACCACCUCCUCACCAUUUGAGCAAUGGGGGGACGCAGGAGGAUAGGGUAAGCGCGGUAUUGGAUAUCCGCGUCCAAGCAGUUAGGCUGGGAAAUAGGCAAAUCCGUUUCCCGUGAAGGCUGAGCUGUGAUGGCGAGCGAAUUAUAGUAGCGAAGUUCCUGAUUCCACACUGCCAAGAAAAGCCUCUAGCGAGGUGAGAGGUGCCCGUACCGCAAACCGACACAGGUAGGCGAGGAGAGAAUCCUAAGGUGAUCGAGAGAACUCUCGUUAAGGAACUCGGCAAAAUGACCCCGUAACUUCGGGAGAAGGGGUGCUCUGUUAGGGUGCAAGCCCGAGAGAGCCGCAGUGAAUAGGCCCAGGCGACUGUUUAGCAAAAACACAGGUCUCUGCGAAGCCGUAAGGCGAAGUAUAGGGGCUGACGCCUGCCCGGUGCUGGAAGGUUAAGAGGAGCGCUUAGCGUAAGCGAAGGUGCGAAUUGAAGCCCCAGUAAACGGCGGCCGUAACUAUAACGGUCCUAAGGUAGCGAAAUUCCUUGUCGGGUAAGUUCCGACCCGCACGAAAGGCGCAACGAUCUGGGCACUGUCUCAACGAGAGACUCGGUGAAAUUAUAGUACCUGUGAAGAUGCAGGUUACCCGCGACAGGACGGAAAGACCCCGUGGAGCUUUACUGCAGCCUGAUAUUGAAUGUUGGUACAGCUUGUACAGGAUAGGUAGGAGCCUUGGAAACCGGAGCGCCAGCUUCGGUGGAGGCAUCGGUGGGAUACUACCCUGGCUGUAUUGACCUUCUAACCCGCCGCCCUUAUCGGGCGGGGAGACAGUGUCAGGUGGGCAGUUUGACUGGGGCGGUCGCCUCCUAAAAGGUAACGGAGGCGCCCAAAGGUUCCCUCAGAAUGGUUGGAAAUCAUUCGCAGAGUGUAAAGGCACAAGGGAGCUUGACUGCGAGACCUACAAGUCGAGCAGGGACGAAAGUCGGGCUUAGUGAUCCGGUGGUUCCGCAUGGAAGGGCCAUCGCUCAACGGAUAAAAGCUACCCCGGGGAUAACAGGCUUAUCUCCCCCAAGAGUCCACAUCGACGGGGAGGUUUGGCACCUCGAUGUCGGCUCAUCGCAUCCUGGGGCUGUAGUCGGUCCCAAGGGUUGGGCUGUUCGCCCAUUAAAGCGGUACGCGAGCUGGGUUCAGAACGUCGUGAGACAGUUCGGUCCCUAUCCGUCGCGGGCGCAGGAAAUUUGAGAGGAGCUGUCCUUAGUACGAGAGGACCGGGAUGGACGCACCGCUGGUGUACCAGUUGUUCUGCCAAGGGCAUCGCUGGGUAGCUAUGUGCGGACGGGAUAAGUGCUGAAAGCAUCUAAGCAUGAAGCCCCCCUCAAGAUGAGAUUUCCCAUUCCGCAAGGAAGUAAGAUCCCUGAAAGAUGAUCAGGUUGAUAGGUCUGAGGUGGAAGUGUGGCGACACAUGGAGCUGACAGAUACUAAUCGAUCGAGGACUUAACCAAUUU
rnacentral:rRNA from 3 species